GGGUCCGGAGGUCACCGCCCGACAGCGCGUUGCGCCCUCGGGCGCGUUUCUC
rfam:Azorhizobium caulinodans ORS 571 DNA, complete genome.